UACGAAGGGGGCUAGCGUUGCUCGGAAUCACUGGGCGUAAGCGCACGUAGGCGGAUUGUUAAGUCAGGGGUGAAAUCCUGGAGCUCAACUCCAGAACUGCCUUGAUACUGGACGAUCUUGAGUCCGGGAGAGGUGAGUGGAACUGCGAGUGUAGAGGUGAAAUUCGUAGAUAUUCGCAAGAACACCAGUGGCGAAGGCGGCUCACUGGCCCGGUACUGACGCUG
rnacentral:rRNA from 1 species